GCCAGGGAUCUCAUUCUAAGGAAAUGUGAAAUGAUGGUCAUUUCUCAUAGAAAUGGAAACCCUCGAACACAGCAAGCCAUCUGCACCCUGGAGGAAGGCUCCCACCAGAACCUAACCAUGAUGGCACCCUGAUCUUGCUUUUCCAGCCUCCAGAACUGGACAAAGGGAGAUUGACACAAAGAAGAAAAGAAGGCGUUGUGAUCACAGAGUUAGAGAAUGAAAGGAUGUGAUCAACAAGGAAGCCAAAAAUAUUAGCAGCCACCAGAAGUUGGAAGGGGUAAAGAACAGAUUCUUCUCCUGAGGCACUCGAGAGAGUACAGCCUUGGUGUCACCUUGAUUUCCACCUAGUGAUACUGAUUUCAGACUUUCGAAGUGUGAGAAUAAAUUCCUGUUGUUUUGAGACACCAAAUUUGUGAUAAUUUGUUGCAGCAGCCUCAGGAAACUAAUACAGCUGACCCUAGAACAACAGGGCUUUGAACUAUGCAGAUCCACUUACAUGCAGUUUUUUUUUUUUUCAAUAAAUACACAUAUAAUACUGCAAAUGUAUUUUCUCUUUGUUAACUUUUUUCUCUAACUUACUUUGUUGUAAC
rnacentral:lncRNA from 1 species